UGGAAAGCCAGAUUUAAACUGUGAUGUUUGCGCUAUUCCUUAUGAAAUCGGUUAGAUAAUGUAUGCACGGUAUAUUUUCUCUUGUCAUAUACCGCACGUGAAGGUUAACAAAGAAAGAAAAAAAGAACAUAAAGGAAAGAAAAAGCUCGUUUGCCUUUGCAGCAAGAAUAUAUACUCGCAGGUCCCUGAGCACGGUGACGAGUGACUCGGCGGCAUGCGAGGAGUCAAGCACGAAAUUUCUGAAAGGACUUACCUACCUAUGAUCGCGGGGCACACUCGCCUGCGUCCUCGGAGGAAGAAGAAAGCGGUUCGCCUAGUAAAAGGCUGAGAAUAGCACCCAGAGAAUCUUGUUGGCCGUCCAAGGAUGGUUAACGGCACAAAAGUCUCCGAGCCAAGGGACGAGCUGGAAAGGAGUCUCGCAUGUGUUCAGGCUGCCGAGACCCGAGCACGCGGGCGCCGACGGAUGUUGAUGCUGCCACGCUGGUCACGACUCGUGGUCGCCGACCGGGCCGCGCUCUGCCUGCUGGCAGGGAGCAGCUCUCGGCGCACGCGGUGAACUGGACAGCUCUCGCCUCUCCAUCGGCACUGAGCGCAGAGGAGCUUCAUUCUGUGGUAUACACUUUCGCUUCCUCGACCCUGGCGGGCCCCAUCGGAAAUUUGUUCCUGCAGCGAUGAACCAGUCCUAGAAAACGGGCUCCAUUGGAAAUUUGUUCCCGCAGCGAUGAACCAGUCCCACAAAGAGGGAGGAAGGAAGGAAGGAAGGAAGGAAGGAAGGAAGGAAGGAAGGAAGGAAGGAAGGAAGGAAGGAAGGAAGAAAGAAAGAAAGAAAGAAAGAAAGAAAGAAAGAAAGGAAGGAAGAAAGAAAAAAGAAAGAAAGAAAGAAAGAAAUGAAUGAAUGAAUGAAUGAAUGAAUGAAUGAAUGAAUGAAUGAAUGAAUGAAUGAAUGAAUGAAUGAAUGAAUGAAUGAAUGACGUUACAGCAGCACUACUCUGAUGAACUGGAGUGACCGUGCAGCAAAUUUUCUGCGCCCGCACCCCAAGCCCCGCACCAUCCCUCGGGCUCCAAGCCAUUCGAUCCAGCACGGCCAAUAUCUUGUCGACAUCCUGCUACACAAAUCGCUUAGCAAGAAUUGAAAUAAACAUUUUCAAUUGUUU